ACGAGUCCUCGUUAGGCGAGGCGUCUAUGCGAACAUACGCCACUGCCCAGAAACGUCGAAAGACGCCAACGGGUUUGAACAGGUACUGCCGGCUUAAGGCUUUACUUAAUGUGGUUGAGGGGUUCCUCUGGUCGUAUAGUGCCAAAGCUCAACUUGGGGGGAUAUCG
rnacentral:sRNA from 1 species